CACGUAGGGGGCGAGCGUUGUCCGGAUUUAUUGGGCGUAAAGAGCUCGUAGGCGGUUUGUCGCGUCUGCUGUGAAAACCCGAGGCUCAACCUCGGGCCUGCAGUGGGUACGGGCAAACUAGAGUGCGGUAGGGGAGAAUGGAAUUCCUGGUGUAGCGGUGGAAUGCGCAGAUAUCAGGAGGAACACCGAUGGCGAAGGCAGUUCUCUGGGCCGUAACUGACGCUGAGGAGCGAAAGCGUGGGGAGCGAACAGG
rnacentral:rRNA from 1 species